UCUGGGUGCGGUGGUGCGUGCCUGUAGUCCCAGCUACUCGGGAGGCUGAGAUGGGAGGAUCGCUUGAGCCCAGGAGUUCUGGGCUGUAGUGCACUAUGCCGAUCAGGUGUCCACACCAAGUUCGACAUCAAUAUGGUGACCUCCCAGGAGCAGGGGAACACCAGGUUGCCUCAGGAGGGGUGAACCAACCCAGGCUGGAAAUGGAACAGGUCAAAAUUCCCAUGCUGAUCAGUAGUGGGAUUGUGCCUGUGAAAAGCCACUGCCCUCCAGCCUGGGCAACAUGGUGAAACCCCGUCUCUA
rnacentral:SRP_RNA from 1 species